rnacentral:rRNA from 1 species
AUGGCAGAACCGACCACCACAGAUCUGGCUAAGAUGAUCGAGGCCUUGACGGCCACGGUGAUGUCCCUGCAGUCGUCCGUCACCGCACUCCAGAAGGACAAGUCCUCCUCUUCGUCCAGCGCUGCCGCCGCCCAUGAUGGGCAGCACCACAAUGAUCGGCCGCCCAGGUUCCAGAAGAUGGACUUCCCCAAGUUCGACGGCAAGUCUGAUCCGCUCGCCUUCAUCAACAGAUGCGAGUCCUUCUUCCAUCAACAACGGAUCGCCGAGGAGGAGAAGGUGUGGAUGGCGUCCUACAAUCUCGAGGGUCCUGCCCAACUAUGGUAUAUGCAGGUCCAGCGAGACGAGGGCACACCUCCGUGGCGCCGCUUCUCCGAGCUGCUCAAUCUCCGCUUCGGGCCACCGCUGCGCGCUAACCCGCUGGGCGAACUAAUGGCGUGCAAACGCACGACGUCCGUCGUCGACUUCCAGGAGCGGUUUGAGGCACUCCUUCCCCGGGCAGGCACCUUAUCCGAGACACAGAAAGUGCAGAUCUUCACCGCGGGACUCCAGCCACCCCUCAGCCUCGACGUGGAGAUCCAUAACCCACAGUCCCUCGCCGUCGCCAUGAGCCUCGCCCGCAAAUUGGAGCUGCGCGACCAGUGCGUGCUUUCCGCCGCGCCACCGGUGCGUUUUCCACAGAAGGGCAUCCUGCCGACACCAGGACCACGCCUCGCGCCCCCCGCUCCGGCCCCACCAGCCGCACCUCAGCAGGGCCACAAUCUGCCGGACGGACGCCCAAUCAAGCAUCUCUCCCAGACAGAGAUGGAGGAACGCCGUCGCCUGGGCCUUUGCUUCAACUGUAACGAGAAGUUUGGCAGGGGCCACAACCGCGUGUGCCAGCGCAUCUUUCUCCUCGACUUAGCGCCGGACGACGACGACGACGACGCGGCCUCCGCCACUGAUGAUGCAUCGCGGGCCGACCCUCAAAUCUCGCUCCACGCGAUCGCCGGCGUGCGCACGAGUGAAACCAUGCAGAUGCAGAUUACUCUCGGAGGUGUCUCCCUCCUCGCCCUGAUCGAUUCAGGCUCCACCCACAACUUCAUCGCCGAAGAGGCGGCCGCUCGUGCUACGUUACCGCCCCCCACCACAGAGAAGAUGCGCGUCACGGUGGCCAACGGCGAGCGCGUUCCGUGCCAGGGCGCGUACCGCGUCGUGCCCUUCCGCAUCGGCCACGAGGAGUUCGCGGAGGAUUUCCUCGCCUUGCCGCUCGCGGGCUACGACAUCGUCCUGGGCACGCAGUGGCUGGCGUCGCUCGGACCGAUCCUGUGGGAUUUCCGAGCCCUCUCCAUGACAUUCUGGCGGCGGGGCCAUCGGGUGUGCUGGCACGGCAUUGCAGGACCGGACGUGCCAGCCCUAAAAUCAUGCAGCGGCCGCGACUUCCUGGACGCCAUCAUCACCGAGUUCGACGGCAUCUUCGCCGACCCCUCCGGCAUGCCACCGCCCCGCAGCCGCGAUCACGGCAUCACCCUGCUACCUGGUUCCGCCCCGGUGGCCGUCCGUCCGUAUCGAUACCCGGCCGCGCACAAGGACGAGCUGGAGCGUUAG